rnacentral:piRNA from 1 species
UAAGACCUGGUGAAAACUCACAGAUUUUU